rnacentral:lncRNA from 1 species
UUUGUUGUGAUCUGUCUUAGCUUAUAACUUUAUUGAAGAAGCAGAAUAUGUCAAAUACACUUUUAGACAGCUUUUCAGAGUACUAUGAGAAUUUCUGUUUCAUUUAUUUCACAAACAAUUAUUAAGCAAUAAUCUACCUGCAGUGCAGGAGACCUGGGUUUGAUCCUGGGUUGGAAAGACCCCCCUGGAGAAAGGAAUGGUUACCACUCCAGUAUUCUUGUCUGGAGAAUUCCAUGGACAGAGAAGUCUGGUGGGCUACAGUCCAUGGGGUCACAGAGUCAGACAUGACAGCAACUAACGCUUUCAAUUCACUUCAUAAGUGCCAGACACUGGACCAGGUUCUAGCAUUAUAAGAAUGUGUACAUGUGCUAGUCACUCAGUCAUUCUUUGUGACCUCAUGGACUGCAGCCCUUCAGACUCUUCUAUACAUGGAAUUCUCCAGAAUGGACAGCAUAUAUGCACUACUGUGGAAAUCAUAUAAAGCAGAAGUGUUGUUUCAGCAGGAGAAGGCAGACUAUGCAAUGACGAUAAAAGAUGAUUUCAAAGAUCUUCCCGAUGUCCCAUUCCGAACAGCUCUUGAAUUCAUUUCUUUGUCCUCCAGAGGCUGUCAUUUCAGACAACACAGUCUUGAAAUCUGAAAUCUCGUAUACAAGCUGCACUUUUUCCUGCAUGAGGCAAAACCCCCAGCAACAUGGAAAUGUGCAGCUACCCUGUGCUAACUAUUCCUGGAUGUCACCCUGCAGCUCUAAUUUCUGCUUUCUCCUCUGCAUUCUGGGUGCCGCUGCCGGACUUGUCAGCACCUUGUCACAGCUUCCUGGUAAAAGAGAGAGAGAAAAAAAGAAAAUUGUAGUGUCCUGAAGCGGCAGCUAUUUGUAAAUGCUGCCGCGCUGUCUCCUCUUCUGCAGUCCUGAGAUGCUCUUUUGUUCGUGGUGUGACAAGGAUGUGGGGGAGCCGAUAUGAUUUAACUAAAUAAUACACAAAUGCCAGGAAUACUUUCAUAUCUUGUGUACAGACCAGAAUAAAUUACUCCGAUGGAAUGUUUUGUUUUUCUUUUCAGGGAACAACCUCCCCCCAACCCCACCCCCAGUUUACAAGGAACUACGCUGACAAGAAGUGGCUAAGAAAUAUUAUUCAAAGUAACCUAUUUUAGUGUAGGACUAAAUGGCUGAAGAUUUCACUCGGGUUCAAACGACAGAAGCCUGGAGAGGAAGUUGACAGGCCGACAGCAGAGAGAAAUUAGUCUUGUCCUGGAAUUCUUAUGGGCAGUGGGGAGAAAAAUAAGUCCAGGAAGAAAUGAAAAUGAAGGAGCUAGUUCUCAGAACUAAAGGUGAACCAAAAGGAAUUGGCAGCUGCCUGGACAUGCCAGCCAGAGAGGCCAUGGUAUCUGAUACACGUGACAGACCAAAAGACAACUGCAAAGCUCCCCAAACGACUCGCCUGAAGGGCUUGCCAGGAAGCCAGAUGCUGCUUCUGGAAGAGUAUCUUCCGUGGUUGGGCAUCUGGGUUCAGUGCUUUCCAUUUAAGGAGGAGAAAGAAGGUGGUAAAAGACAGCUCCAUCACCACCUUUAAAAAAAAAAUAUGUUCUUUCUACUUCUUUCUGCUUGUUUUUAAAAAGGACCCCUGGAGAUAAAACUUGCCAGUGUUUCUUAGGUAGAAAGCAAUGUGUUAGAGGGAGAGAGAGAGACUGAAGGACAGACACCAAGGAAACCCCUAUUUAAAUAUGUCACUCCACUAAAUAAUUUGGUAAUUUUAUUUAAAAGGUUGGGGUUAUAGCUGAUGUGCAAAAACAGGUUAUUUGAGUGAUGGGCCUGUGCCUUUAUCACAGUUGGCUGGUCUUUCUCCCUCUUUCUUCCCUGGAAACAAUCACGUAUUGGUGUUGGCAAGGAAGCAGAGUGUGGUCUAGUGGACUGGAAAUCAGGUGACUUGAGGUCUGGUUGAUUUUUUUCCCCCUUCUACUUUGAAGUUAUGUGUCUCCGCUCCAUAAAACAGGGGAACUGAAUUUCUUUAUACACUUAUAAGCAGAGGUCAAGCCUUGGUAAUCAUAAUUUUUUCUCUUCACCUGAUACUAAAUAAUUCAAGGUAAUAGGAAGUCAAUAUUGGAUCUGGAACAAAAGAUGGACAGGAAGGUUGGAUGAUAUGAUGAGACAAGGGAGAUAGAGAUUUUUUAAUUGAGUAGUGAGAGUACUGACAGGAGAAAAAAAAAAUCUGAGUUUUGAAAUUCCAAGAUCUGUUACAAAUCUGAGAUAAUCAAGCAAUUAGAAGAACUGGCAAUCCCACUCUGGGCUGUAGUGAUUGAUUUAAAAGGAUCCAACACUGGUGGGUGGUCACAGAGUUCCUGAUCAAGACUUAUUCAGCAAAGUCAGCUUUGUUGGGCACCCAUUGAUCAUUACACUCUGGACCUCCUAACCUGAUGCAUGUUAAUAUUGCCUCUUUUCUAAUUAGAGCUGUUCUUCUCUUCAUCAUGAUGAAAAGAUAAACAUGAGGUGAGGAGACAGAAACUUGAGAAAAACAAUUCACCGAACAAUAUCCUCGAAAUGGAAUAGUCCCUAGUCCUAGUCUAUAUCAGGUUUCUAAGAUUCCAGGCUUAAGAAGUUGAUCUUAAUUGGAACUAUCAAUGGCUUUUCAGUGAUCCUCUUCUCUUAAUCAGGUCAUGUGAUUGUUCUACAAAAAUCACAGUAUCCACCAUGUGUGGGACACUGUAGUAGGCUCUUGGGAUGUGGCAAGAAUCAAAAUGAUAAAAAUUCCUGCCCUCCCGAAGCCCACGUGCUAAUGGUAGAAGGAACCAGGUCAUAAUUUCCAUUUUUACCAG